rnacentral:rRNA from 1 species
CAGCCGCCACGGUAAUACGUAGGGUGCGAGCGUUAAUCGGAAUUACUGGGCGUAAAGCGUGCGCAGGCGGUUGUGUAAGACAGGUGUGAGAUCCCCGGGCUUAACCUGGGAACUGCGCUUGUGACUGCACAGCUAGAGUAUGGCAGAGGGGGGUGGAAUUCCACGUGUAGCAGUGAAAUGCGUAGAGAUGUGGAGGAACACCGAUGGCGAAGGCAGCCCCCUGGGCCAAUACUGACGCUCAUGCACGAAAGCGUGGGGAGCAAACAGGAUUAGAUACCCCUGUAGUCCCUGUCUCUUAUAC